GUCGUGCGAUGAUGCCGUGCGAAAUCUUGCCGCCGCCGAAAAGUGCGUAACAGCACUACCUACAUUUUCGUUUUUAUGGCAUUGUAAAUUUGCAUUUGAUUAAGUUGGUUCACCACUUUUGGCAGGCAAAAUGGACGCAGACGCGGAACACAGUGCUUUACCACACAGCAUCAAGCACGCUACAAGGCGAAAGAUCAAUAUGCUUAAACUUGCUGUCAUAUACUUAAGAACAUUGCUGGCAGGUAGAGCCAGCGACGGAUAGAUUUCCCUUUUGGCCGUACGACUUGAGGGCCUUGUUCAUUGGCCUUCUUCCCUAUAGAGACUGUACGGCAUCAUUGGCCUUCUUCCCUAUAGGGAAUGUACGGCAUCAUUGGCCUUCUUCCCUAUAGAGACUGUAGGGCAUCAUUGGCCUUCUUCCCUAUAGAGACUGUACGGCAGUAUCAUUUUUUACCUAAGAGGUUACCUUUUUAGAGUUAGAAAUAAAGGAAGAAUCAUUUUUUACCUAAGAGUUACAGCUUUUCAAAAAGAACUAACAGCAACUACUACUAUUAUAAAUUUUUGGCCGAUCAUUGGCGAGCGCAAUAAUGAGCGGUAGCAACGACACCACCGCGCUGAUCUUUCCCUGCCAUGAGGACGAUUCACUGCAAGCGGCCACAUACACAUCCUGAACCGCAUCAGCGUGACAUGUUGCUUCGGCGAAAUAUAUCCAGUGCAGUGCUUAGGCAACCCCAUCCACUGCUUGUACCGGCACAUUUUCACCCCUGGUUGUUUGUCGUCGGAAACAAAUGUCCUAGGAUCCAUUUCUAGUCGCUCACUCUCCCAAUCGUCAUCAAAUCGACUGCGUAACUCCUGCAUCAACUGGCCUAUAACUGGCCUAUAUGCAGUUCAAGGAGCUCUGGCAGCAAACACGCAACGGCAUAAACCGAUGCAACAUACUCGGUUGCUCGACCUAGAACGGCGAAAGAAUCCAAUAUCAUUUGCAGCGCUGAGCGCGACUGUCCUUGUUCUUGGGUUGCUACUAUUAUUGAUGAUAAUAUCCNNNNNNNNNNNNNNNNNNNNNNNNNNNNNNNNNNNNNNNNNNNNNNNNNNCGACGGACUCGUCCGCCUGCUUAACGGGACACUCGCGAACGUAGUGACCAGGCUGUCCGCAGUAGUGGCAGGUGUCGCCGGCCCCCACGGCGCCUGCAGCACCGGCGGCGCUGCCGAUUCCACUGGCAGCACGGCCAGGGCCGACAGCUCCCACCAGGCUUGUCUUGCUUGCUUAGGUCUUAGGGUUGUUCUCCUUCUCACGCAGCAUGAGCACGAGCUGUGGGGUCGUUAAGUUGGGCUGAUACAUCGUCAACUCGACGGUGAUGAUGCACUGCGGAGGCAGGCCACGGAGAAUGGCGUGGUGCAUCGUGCUCUCGUCCCACUGGCCGCCGGCCACGAUUAUAUUGCUACGGAGCUGCUCUGCCUGCUGAACGAAGUCAGUGGUCGUCUUCCCAUCGCGCAUGCUCAGCUGUUUCUGCGGCUCCAACAGGCUCAGCCGGGCCUGGGAUGCAGAACGCAAUUGUUGCUGUAAGAGCUGCAUGGCGGCGAGAAUGGUCUGGCAAUUCCUGAGCAACUGCUUGAUGGGCAGUUCACAGGACAGAUGCAGGUAGCCGAGCGCCUGUGCGUCCUCCUCCAGGGCGUCUUGGGCGUUGCGGCCCGGAGGCGACGGGUGUUGAUGUAGUCUUCAACUUGGAUGUUGCAAAGAAAUCGCCUAAGUCGCCGAGCCACUGGGAGUAGUUCGACCCAUCCGAGAGGAGGACACCCUUACAUCCCUUCCCCAUGAUGGUUGCCUAGCGCGCAUGACUGAUCAAGCCGCGUUCCCCGCCACCUUUCUGGCAACUAGUUGAUGGUAUGAUGCAUCGUUGUUGCGGCGUACGAUGGCUCCUGAUGCGAUUUAUGCCCUUUCAGCCUCCCAGGCAUGUCCCCACAACUGCCUCACAGCCACCGACACAUCUCACGGCGGGGGGUUAAUUGCGUGUUGGAUGCUCCUUUCCCCGCCGCCUUCCUAACAACUAGUUAAUGUUAUGUUGGAUGCUCCAUUCCCCAGCAGCCUUCCCCGUCACAUUUCGGCAAAUAGUUGAUGGCGUCAUACAUCGUUGGCACGGUGUAAGACAGUGCCUGAUGCGAUUUAUGCGUCCGGAAGCCCUUUCAGCCUCCCAGGCAUGUCCCCGCAACUGCCUCACAGCCAGCGGGGGUCUAAUUGCGUGCGCGUUCGCAUGUGGCAUAUGUCCCGCCACCUUUCUGGCAUCUAUUGAUGGUAUGAUGAAUCGUUGUGCGAUGUAAGGCUGCGCCUGAUGCGAUCUCGUUUGCGGAAGGGCCCCCUGAGUGCUGCCAAGCAUGUUAUUCUCUCAUGAGACUGCGUGAAGGUUACCGAACUGAGUAUGCGACCAACACAUAAAACAUCGCAUGUGAAUUGUUAUGUCAUGCGAUUAAUCAAAGUAAAUCGCGUGUGUUUGGUGUGUGUUUGGUGUGUUAGGCCGCAGUAAACUUGACGCAACGAGCCUUCAUACGCUUGAAACGCAACAUUUGUCUGCAUGCGAAUCGCGUUGCGACAUGUGUGCGUUUGGUGUGUGUUAGGCCGCGUUAAGCUUUACGCAAUCAGCCUUCAUACACAUGAAACGCAACAUGUAUUCGCAUGCGAAUAGCCUUGCGGACUGUAUGCGUUUGAUGUGCGAUUGGACGCGUAUUGCUUUACGCAUUGUCUCCCCACACGCACGAAUCGCAAUAUGGAAUCGCAUGCGUAUCGCCUUGCUACACAUGCGCGUAUGCUUCGCGUUUCAACAUACGCACGCAUGAAUUGCUCAAGUCGACCAAAACGACGCAAGUUUAUUUCCAAAUGAACAUUUACAAUCUGAAAAUUAUAAAAUUUAAAAGUUUUAGCAAGGAGGGCCGAUUUCCGCAUUUUCAUAGCCGUCGUGCGUUAGCUCUUUGCGUUACAAAAACAUGCUCAUUCGCACCUAACGCUAAGAUUCGCACCGUUACGCGAACUAACGCGAUCUAACGCGGACUUAACGCAGUCACCCGUCGUCAUAGUGUGUCGUGGUCAUGGCGAGCAUGACCACAAUGCUGAACGUCAGCGAUUGUACCGACAGUGACAACAUUUACUAGCUUCAUAUUCACUAGCAGUCCAAGGCUUUAAUGAAGGUAUUGACUCAAGGAUCAGUCUAUCACAACGAUAACGGCGAAGGAAAGGAAGCCAAACUAAUCUUACAAUUUGUUAAAAGAAGAAGUCAUAUGUAAUACAAAGUAUUUGCUAUUUAUGUACUGGGCUAAAUACUGGCUGAACAGCGACGCAGAUCGGUCGUGCGAUGAUGCCGUGCGAAAUCUUGCCGCCGCCGAAAAGUGCGUAACAGCACUACCUACAUUUUCGUUUUUAUGGCAUUGUAAAUUUGCAUUUGAUUAAGUUGGUUCACCACUUUUGGCAGGCAAAAUGGACGCAGACGCGGAACACAGUGCUUUACCACACAGCAUCAAGCACGCUACAAGGCGAAAGAUCAAUAUGCUUAAACUUGCUGUCAUAUACUUAAG
rnacentral:lncRNA from 1 species